UUUAUUUAAAGGAAGAGGGAAAAGCGAGUUUCAAAUCAAAAGCUGUGUACCAUGUUUCCAGAGGUGUAUUCCUUAGGAAACAAAUUCUUAAAUAGCAGCUAUAAUCAGAUUAAUUUCUGAUAAAGCAACUAAUAUCUAGUGUUGUUUUUCCGUGACACACUUACAUUUUGUACUCAGGCCAAAGUCUGAGUAAAGAGGAACUGAGAUAGGAAUCACUGUUUUGCAUCUUCAAGUCACUAAUGAUAAUGUUAAAAACUGCUUGUGACAUGCCUUUUUUUCUUUUUCUUUUUUGUGGAAAAGGGGACUCUACUUGACAUUUUCCACCAAAUACUCCCACUUCAUCUUUUCUACCAAAAUAAACCUUUUUAUUACCGUACCGCUCAAGGAGCCAACGUGAGGGUCUCGUAAAUUCUCUGAAGGCAUCCCCUAAAGAUGUUUAUUUUGCCUAUCUACUCUGGAGGAAUAUUAAAGAAGUGUUCACAGUUCUACUGAGCCAAAAUUCCAAUAAUUGCUUAACCUUUAUGCGUCCAUACCCUGCUGUGAGAUCACAGUAGAAUUCUAUAUCCCGAGGAAAACUCUGUUAGUUCACGGCUCAUGAUCAAUAUUUUUCAAAAGGCUUGGGUAUUUCCUAUUUCUGAGUACAGAGCUCCCCUUGUGAAGCAUUACCGAUCUCUAAGGAAGGGUAGGAGGAAUGAUCGCCAGGCGUAUAUUUGAUACGAUUUUGGAUUGUUUCCCCAAGGAUCUUGCUUCCUCAUAGUGGAAGAGACUUUGGGUUUGAGAACUCUCCUCCAGAGCAGCCCAAGAUCCCCCAUGAAAGUGCAUGUUGGAAGUUGCCAGAUGCAUCCUCAGCUGGGCCACAGUAUGGCUUUGUGACACCACAUCCUUUUCCUUCAACCUCCAGUCUGGAACCACCUUGUAUUGUUAUUUGGGCAAGAAAUAAAUUUUGAGGGAGAUGAGCCGCUCCAUAUUCGGGAAGUUGCAGCAUUUACAAGCAAAGAGAAAUAGUUACGAAGGAGGGAAGAAAGACUGCUUCAACCAGCAAGUGAAGCUCUGGGGGAUUUGGAACUCGGCAUAUACAAUGUCCUCUGAUUCUUUGCAUAGAGGCCCAACACCAGUUCUUGGACUCAUGUUUGUUCUAAUCAAAGCUUUAACUUCCCCAGAAGAGAUCUGGAGAUUAACUAAAUUCAA